rnacentral:rRNA from 1 species
UACAGAGGGUGCGAGCGUUGUCCGGAAUCACUGGGCGUAAAGGGCGCGUAGGUGGCGACCCAAGUCCGUGGUGAAAGCUCGUCGCUUAACGACGAGUCGGCCACGGAGACUGGGUGGCUCGAGCACUGUAGGGGCAGAUGGAAUUCCGGGUGUAGCGGUGGAAUGCGUAGAGAUCCGGAAGAACACCAGUGGCGAAGGCGGUCUGCUGGGCAGUUGCUGACACUGAGGCGCGACAGCGUGGGGAGCAAACGGG